ACGCGAAUAACCUUACCUGGGCUUGAAAUGCAAGUGACGACAACAGAGAUGUUGUUUUCCCGCAAGGGACGCUUGCACAGGUGCUGCAUGGCUGUCGUCAGCUCGUGCCGUGAGGUGUUGGGUUAAGUCCCGCAACGAGCGCAACCCUUGUCGCCAGUUGCCAGCACGUAAUGGUGGGCACUCUGGUGAGACUGCCUAGGUUAACUAGGAGGAAGGUGAGGAUGACGUCAGGUCCGCAUGGCCUUUAUGUCCAGGGCUACACACGUGCUACAAUGGUCGGUACAGAAGGCAGCGAAGCCGUGAGGUGGAGCAAAUCCCCAAAGCCGACCCCAGUUCAGAUUGUAGUCUGCAACUCGACUACAUGAAGUUGGAAUUGCUAGUAAUGGCGCGUCAGCAACAGCGCCGUGAAUACGUUCCCGGGUCUUGUACACACCG
rnacentral:rRNA from 1 species